GUGACGGGAAUGGAUUGUACACCGAUGAUCUUCAAAGAUUCUUGCAAAAAAGAGCUUGAGAAGACAGAAAAGCCUAAAAUGGAUCCUGAAGGAACUUCACAGCCACGGGCAGAAAGCAAAAAGCCCUCAAGAACACCCGAAGAUGGCACUUCGAGUCAAACAGUGGCCAAUUCCUUGCUUGUCCUCUUACUAAGUCACAUUGUUUUGCUGGUCGUGGCCCUUCUAUAGAUCAGUUAAGAUAUUGAGAAAUCUGUUACCACACCUUCGUGUGCACUGUAUCUCUCUCUAAAUUUGGGAUGUCACUGUGUUUUCUGUAUUUUUGGUGUCCACCUACUGAACUGUUGUUAAUGCUAGUAAGCAAAUAUUGCUAAUAAAACUAACCUGUGGAAUACUAACCCUAAGCGUUCAGCACUAUAAUUAAAAGAUUAAUUAUAGACACAAAUUAUUCAUUUCCCAGCCUUUAAACCGUUGUACCUUCGCCUUGUGAGAUUUCACAAAGGCAGCGUCUUUAGUAUAAAUAAAAUGAUACUUAUAGAAACUUCAA